rnacentral:rRNA from 1 species
UGGGGAAUAUUGGACAAUGGGCGCAAGCCUGAUCCAGCAACGCCGCGUGGAGGACGAAGGCCUUCGGGUCGUAAACUCCUGUCAGUAGGGACGAAAAAGUAGGGUCGAACAGGCCUUGCCAUUGACGGUACCUCCAGAAGAAGGUGCGGCCAACUACGUGCCAGCAGCCGCGGUGACACGUAGGCACCAAGCGUUAUCCGGAUUUAUUGGGCGUAAAGAGCUCGUAGGCGGUCCGUUGCGUCUGCCGUGAAAACCCGGAGCUCAACUCCGGGCCUGCGGUGGAUACGGGCGGACUAGAGUCCGGGUAGGGGAGACUGGAAUUCCUGGUGUAGCGGUGGAAUGCGCAGAUAUCAGGAGGAACACCAGUGGCGAAGGCGCCGCUCUGGGCCGUAACUGACGCUGAGGAGCGAAAGCAUGGGUAGCAAACAGGAUUAGAUACCCUGGUAGUCCAUGCCG